GGGUGAAGUCCCGUCCUCCUGCAGUACCAGAGACAAAGGCUGUCAUUCUGCUCUAGAAGUUGAUGAGUUGAGCUGAGUUUUAGAUUACAGGCCCCUGGCUGCUGCUGGUUUGACACCCACCAUACACCCAGCCCUCAGUUAGAUGUGCUCUGUUAAUGCCAUAUGAUAAAACAGCGGUAAAACCAGGACUGCAGCAUGAGAAUUUGAAGCAAGCUGUGCCAUGCUCUGGCUGCUGAACAUCGCAAGGCCUCUCACAAAGGUUCCCUGUCAUUAACCAGACCUUCUGAUGAGCAUGCAGAGAUUUGAUGCUUGUUUCAGUGAGCCUCGCCAGGGCUGGUAGCCCUCCUUAGCCUUAGUUCAAAGCAGAGACUCAGUGGGGCCAGGCUGUAGGUUUGCUGCCCAGGUGCUGUUUGUGCUGACUCUUCCUCCUCCUGCCUUCCCCAAUGGCUGGGAAAGGUGGUCAAGGGCUGUUCCCAAUUCACCUUUGCCAGCACCAGGCAGCAGUUUAUAGACCUCUGUUGUAUUCUCACUUUACUUCCUAGACUGAAAAGCCCCAGUCUCUUUAGUUACACCCCAUAGAGAUAAAGCAGGUAAAAAUGGGAUCACUUGGGGUAAAAGGGUAAUCAGUCAUUCCUGCCAUCACUCUUCUUCCUCUAUUGUCAGUUUGGUUACACGGUCUCCUUAGCAAGAUUUACACCAUCCCAGGUGGCAUUUGAGGCCAAAUGCCAAACAACUUGGCAUCUUUUGAGCCAAAGGGAUUGUUCUGUGUUUCACCCUCAAGCCUAUGCUUGUGCCACAGCUUUGAUGAUAUUCUCUACCCAAAGCUAUAAUAUUUAGAAUGACACCAGAAUUCAUAGAGCCUGUAAGGGAGAGGCACCUCAUCAUCUCUAGAGCGAUUUGUGAAUGAGAGGUGAAGAAGGGUGGAAGGCAGAGAUUUAAAGGGCAGAGAAUUGUCAAGGUUUAAGAAAUUAAAACAGCCCCCACUGGCCCCUUUAUCUAUCAAUUUAAACCAAAACCCCAACAACACCCCAAACCAGUUUGGCUUUAUCAAGAUGAAGAGAUGCCACAUAGUCUGACUACCUCAUUAAUGAGCUUCUCUGUGGUUUAGGAAAUUCAGAUCUGCCAGCUCUCAUUUCCAGCAUGCAUCUAGGCUGGUGGCUGCUCUGCUUGUGUUCCUACACCUCAUGUUGUGACCAGUUCCGAAUCUGGGAUGAAUCACAAGCAGGUAGGACCCUGUUCAGGCCCAAAUAGCAGCCAACCUACCAGGCUCAUAGCACUUCAGUCCUGAAUGAGGGCAAAAGUAUGAACAUUGCCUGUCCUAUGAGAUCUCUGUCAUUCAAAGCCAAAUCCACACGCUAAACUUGAUUUGCCUAUUCCUUUUACUGCUCUUUGGAGAGGUCUGAGCACUGUGAUGAAAGGACCCUGUGGAGUACAGUGAGACAAGAAUAUGUUAAAUGUUGCAGAUGUGCUCAAAUUGGGGAUAGGGAGAUAACCCAGUGAGAAAAGUAGUCUGGGAUCAAAACCACUGUGAUUUCUAAUAACUGGAGAAUUGAGCUGUAACAGCCUGCAGAGCAUCUGUGUGUUGGUCUGCCCAUAGAAGACACAGCUUCCUUUAAGCUACCCAGACCACAGGCUCCAAAAGGUCCUGUACUAACCUUAGGAUAACAUAACUGUUGCCUCCCUGAGACCCUAAGUGUGCCUAAACAAGGGGGAUGUGCGUGAGGGCUGAGUUCCCAGAGUGGGUGCUGGGAGCACAGUGUGAGAGCGUGCGAUGCUGUGCAGAAACACGGCUUAAGGUCAGACUCGGCUCUAAAGCUUCCUCAGAAUCCCAAAUCCUCUUUUUAUAAGAGUUUCACUCAAACACAAACAAUUAAAGAAUUUCAUCUUCUCCUCCUAUGGUGGGAAAGCCUGGAUGCUCCUCUGGUCUCUAAACUUUAUUAAAUAGCUCAGAGCCUUCCCUCGGUGAGGGUCCUGCUUGGCUUCACACAACCCGGAUCUUUGUGUUCGAUGCAAAUAAAUUGGUCACUGAUGCCAGUUGGCAGCAGGGAAGAGAAAUCACACAGCCUGUUGCAAGGAAGGGAGCUGCGAGCCUCAUGGCUGCUGAUACGGUUGGAGUCGUUUGCCAAGGACCCCCAUCAACGGCAGCACCUUUUCAGAGACCUCAGUGUGUGCUAUUGCGCAUCUCCACUAUCCACCUCUCCUUAUGCUUCACCUCCUAGGGACAACACCUAUGCCAGCCUCUGUGCUCAAGCACUCGAUGUUCGGAUGCCUGCCUGGGGCACAGGGAGAUGGGUUUUGUCAUUUUAAUGCUGGAAUUUACCCCAUUAAUAGCAGUGAUCUGACACAACGGGCAGAAACUCUCCCCCUGGACCGGUUGCUCUGGAGGCCUGCGGCUCUCUCAUCACCAGGGCUUUGUCAGAGCGUGCAGUAUGCUAACAUCCUGCCAGCUCACCUUUCUCUAAGCGUCAGUCCCACCAGUGCAAAUAAGGUGUCUGCCACAUGUCUGCUGGUUUCUCCCUGGUGCACUGAGGCAAAGCAGCCCUUCCUUGUCAGUCAGUGACCAAAACUGUUGAUUCUGGAACAACUGACUGUGCUGGCUGUAAAGGAUGCCAAAACCUCUUGAAAGCUGGGAGGCAAAGGUGUUUUCUUUGUAAAUGAAUUUAGCUGUAGAAGGAAUUUCCCUGAGAGCUUGUUUGAUAUCUGGACUAGAAAUGGCUUUCCUUCUCCAUCUCCACCUACUCAGCCCUCAGAGCCACAUCCAGGGAGCCUUUGGACACAAUUCUCCUCUCGACAUUCCCUGCUUUGGAGUUCCUCUGUGUUUAUCUCUAGACAGCUGAUGGAUGUUCCAGGUGAGUCCAACUGGAAUGUGCUUGCUGGGUUGGUGUCAUGGACUUAGUGCAGCCUAGGGAGGGUUCCUCAGUUGCAGAGCACAUUUCCUGUUGUAUCAGACAUUUGUGGCAGGGCUGAGCUGAAGGAAGCUUGGUCCAGUUUGGUUAAACUGCCCGUUCAAAUCACAGCCAGCUCCUGAGCUGCUUGUUAAAGCUCAGGUCUGGUACAUCCCACUUGAUGUAAGCGCUCUCUGGUUCCCUGGGAGCCAUCCCUGCUCAGUUCAGCAGCUUCCCCCUUUCCCUCCCCAUCAGCAGGCCAAGGGGGAUUUCUGGCCAGCUCCAGGCCCCAGGGUCACCCAGGUACCUCCUGCCUCCCUUGCCAAACACAGCUGUGCAAAAGGAAGGCACAUCCUAAGCGCUGUGCAUGCCCGAAGCAGCACGGAUCUAUCAUAUUGCUAAAUGCUGCCAUGUGUGAUAGAGGCAGGACCUUGCAAGGCAAAAGACAUUUUGCAGCCACAUAGGAGAGCGACCCCAUGGUAAGAGUGGCUUUUAAGAAACAAGUCUGAAGGAGAGGAGUGGUAAACCCAGCUCUACCUGUACCCAAAGACACAGGUAACACCUGGUGGCACUGAUAAAGCUGGUGCUGUGAGCCUUAGCUCCCAUAGGAAACAGGACCUCUACCAGCAUCCGUAAGUAAAUAUCCCCCUGUGUCUUUACACACUUAAAUACCUUUGCAAACCUGGCUCCUUGCCUGUUUCCCACACUGGGCUGCUGCUGCUUUACUUGUGCACAGCAGCAGGAGCAAGGAGCUCAGCUGUAAUUUGGGGUUGUGUUGUGCUAAGCACUGUACAGGCACAGAACAAAAGACCUCUGACUGCUUCCCAGCAUCCAGCUCUUGUUGUUUCAAAAACAACCCUCCCCGUUUCUCUGGUUUUUCACUUUUAUUCAUUGUUUUCUUGCUUCCUUUAUAUUCCUGGUGCCUCCAAGCUAGAAUACCUUUGCUGGGCUCCUGAGGGAGCCAGGCCAAACCACAUGGAAAGGGCUUUUUACCUGUGUCCCGCUUAUCUACAAGAGGGUCGGAACGUGUGUGUAUCCCAUUAACUCUGUCCUCGCUGCUCUCAAGAUGUUCCGCACAAAUGAUUUUAUUUUUUUGUGAAACAGAAAUUUGGCAAAACACAACCUGUUCCUGGGCGCCUAAGAGCUACAGAAACCACCUCCCAAAGGAAGCCAUAAAGUGCCAUUGUAUGCCUACUGGGUCUGAUGAAACACCAGAGGAAAUGAUCCCAAGUGAAGGUCUUUGCCAUUUCUCACACCUCUGGUUCUCUGAUCCACCCUCUUUGUGUCUCUGGGUUGGCUACAAAUGGGAAGAGAACAGUCCUGGAAAGACUGUGCUUCAGAGAACAACUGGAGAUGUUCAGAUAUGAACCUUAUCUGCCUUGCAUUGAGAGCAUCAUCAGAGGAAGACCAGAGUGGACUCCACCACCCAGCCUCACCUUGCUGGUACUACAGGUUGUACUGUGCAGCUUUGGCCCCCACCCCUCCUCCAGGGCCUUAUUGCAUAAAGCCCACCACCCAGGGUGGUAUGGGCCCUACCUUGCCUCAGGGGCACUGCUGCAUUCCCUGCCUUCCCACCCAGCCCUUUCCCACCCACCCAACAUCAUCUGAGUCCUCGGGACAUCUACAGCAGCUUCCUACAGGAAUGUCAUGUCGGGAAGGCAUUUAAAGCCUUUGUAGCUCUAAUGCCAUGUAAACAAGGAGGUAAGCCCACCCCACCCCACCACUCCAAAGCCCUUUUGAUGUUGAUUUCUUUUAUGGCCACCAGCCACACUUUGGGAGAGCUGGUCCCUGCACCAACCCGUCUGCAGUCCUGCUGCCUGCUCCUGCCUAACACCCAGCUCUUGGAGCCCUCGCUGGCUUCUGAGCCAAGUCAGGGUGUCCCUGGGAGCUUUGCCUGUAUAAGGGCUGUAGCGUCUGGCACGUUGUCUGGAAAGCGCUGUGUAAAUAGGAGGGACAAUUAUCACAGCCCUUUCCCGAAAGGAAAUUCCAUAUUGGCACCGAGCGGCAGGAUAGGAUGGCAGAGCAAGCUGGGCUGUGCGCAGGGCUCUGCCCUCCUCCGGCAGCCUCUGACAGCAUGGGGAGGGAAACUGGCUCUUUGAUGGGACACGCUGCUCUAGUGGAAGCCCAUAUGGUACUGAGCGAUCUGUGCUGAAUGCCCCUGUUAUCCACACGCCCCUGUCACCGCCCCCCUGCCUCUACCCUCCCCUCGGGCCCCCUCCCUGAUGCAGAGGUUAAAUAAAAUAUCAUUUCCUUCUGAUUUAGCCUUUGUCUUUGGCAAUCAAAAUGCCCUUCAGGCCCCUGUGGAUUCAACCUUCCAGGUCAGGGUAGGACAUGGGAAACCCCUUCCCAGGCGUUUCACUGUAGAUAA